UACGAAGGGGGCUAGCGUUGCUCGGAAUCAGCUGGGCGUAAAGCGCACGUAGGCGGAUUGUUUAAGUCAGGGGGGUGAAAACUCCUGGAGCUCAACUUACCAGAACUGCCUUCGAUUACUGGGGGAUCUUGAGUUCGGAAGAGGUUGGGUGGAACAGCUAGUGUAGAGGUGAAAAUUCGUAGAUAUUUAGCUAAGAACACCAGUGGCGAAAGGCG
rnacentral:rRNA from 1 species